rnacentral:rRNA from 1 species
GUCCACGCUGUAAACGAUGUCUGCUAGCCGUUGGGAUCCUUGAGGUCUCGGUGGCGCAGCUAACGCGAUAAGCAGACCGCCUGGGGAGUACGGCCGCAAGGUUAAACUCAAAUGAAUUGACGGGGGCCCGCACAAGCGGUGGAGCAUGUGGUUUAAUUCGAUGCAACGCGAAGAACCUUACCAGGUCUUGACAUCCAGAGAACUGUUCAGAGAUGGACGGGUGCCUUCGGGAGCUCUGAGACAGGUGCUGCAUGGCUGUCGU